rnacentral:rRNA from 1 species
CAGGUCUUGACAUCCUUUGAAGCUUUUAGAGAUAGAAGUGUUCUCUUCGGAGACAAAGUGACAGGUGGUGCAUGGUCGUCGUCAGCUCGUGUCGUGAGAUGUUGGGUUAAGUCCCGCAACGAGCGCAACCCUUAUUGUUAGUUGCCAGCAUUCAGAUGGGCACUCUAGCGAGACUGCCGGUGACAAACCGGAGGAAGGCGGGGACGACGUCAGAUCAUCAUGCCCCUUAUGACCUGGGCUACACACGUGCUACAAUGGCGUAUACAACGAGUUGCCAACCCGCGAGGGUGAGCUAAUCUCUUAAAGUACGUCUCAGUUCGGAUUGUAGUCUGCAACUCGACUACAUGAAGUCGGAAUCGCUAGUAAUCGCGG